rnacentral:lncRNA from 1 species
CUUCUCUCUCCCUCUUUGGAGAACACUGGUCAAGAAAACUGCCUAGCAUAGCCUUCAAUAGGGCUUGAUUAUGCUGUACUCAGGAGUUUACAAAUUGGCAGCUUCUGGAGUUAAUCAGCCUGCUGACAUAUUUUGUUUGGUCUACACGGCAUUUAAAAAUCUAGCCAAGGAUUAAAAACUGAGAGAAGUUAAGUAUUUUUUAAAAAGAAAGUAAAAGAAAAAAUUAUUUAUCGUUCCUCUUCUAAAAAUGCCUGUGGGGCAAGAAUUAGCCGGACAUACAGUCUUCCAUUCACAGGACUCCUUAGCACUCAAUAUUAUUUCCCAGGUGAGACCAAGAUGAUCCAAGGACCAUACUUUACGAACAACAACAACAAAAAGUAAUAAUGGGAAAUAAGAAUGGAGGCACAGAUUACGGAGGCUCUUAAAUGUCAGUCAGGCUAAGGAGUUUGGGCUUAAUUGUGAAGAGAAAGAGAAAUCAAAAACCAGUAAAAACUUCUCUGCUGUACAAGAAAGAAAAGGGGAUGAAGAGUAAAGCCAGAUGCACAAAGACUGAACACAUACUCAUGAAGCUCUCUUUGGCCUUUUCUCCACAGAACAGACUUUUCUAAAUGUCUCCGAGACACAGAGUCUUACCAUCUCACACAUAAGUUGUGCUCAAUAUUUCAGGAUGAUGUUCCUUCGUGGCUAAGAAAGUAAUGGACAGAACCUUCAAUAGUAGUUUGUUCAGUCCCAAAUUGAUGAAAGUUGUACAAUUUGUAAAGAUUUUUGGAAGGAUGCCCAAGUGGACUAGGGAGAUUUCACUCCACUUAACUCUCAACUUCAACUUUUUUUUUUUUUUUUAUCCACAGAAUUUAAAGUAGUGUCAGCAAAAAUGGCAUAGAAUUAUUUAUUAACUUCUUCAAGAAAGGGGAAUAUUAUGACCCUUGAAACUCACCUAAUUUUAAAAAUAGAAAAUCAUUCAGCCUACGGUGUCUAGAAGAGACCAUAUGAUGCCUUCUUUUUUCUUAAAAAUGAUUUAAGUGUGGGGAUAUUUGCACCUGGGAAUGCUUUUCCAGCUAAUCAGCCAGAAAAGACCAUGAAGUUGGUGUUACCCAUUUACUAGCCGACUCUGAACUGAAGUGGCAUUUCACACAUAAUGUAACAGUCUUCCUAGAUUCCAAACCUCCAAGCAGGGCUUGGACCCAAGCCAGCACAUCUGCUAUAUAUCCCUGGAUAUAUCAUCACCAUCCAAAUAGAGAUACAUUUUGAAACUAGAACAUUUUUAGAAUAAUUUUUUCUUCAUUUCUUCUUUAGAGAAUUUAAAAUUUUUUCCUUGUCAUUUUAUGUUCCUAUUGCCAGAAUGGAGAAUUUGCACAAUUUGAUUUUUUUAAAAAUGUUUCAAAAAAAAAAAAUGUCAGGAUAAAAAUCACUGGUUUUGCACCCUGGUUCACGCACUCUGAAACAUGAGAAAUUUUAUAGAAAGCACGAUUUUUAAAAUUUUGUAUUAGAAUUAAAAUAUGCUCUCACAUCUAAAAU